CAAGCCCUGCGUUGAACCAUUCAUUAGCAAACAGCAACACAGCGGCUACACAGCUAACAUGUCAGACAAGAAACAGACCGUGGACCUGGGCUUACUGGAGGAGGACGAUGAGUUUGAAGAAUUCCCAGCCGAGGAUUGGACGGGGUUGGAUGAAGAUGAAGAUGCUCAUGUUUGGGAGGACAAUUGGGAUGACGACAACGUAGAGGAUGAUUUCUCAAAUCAGCUGAGAGCUGAGCUGGAAAAACAUGGUUACAAGAUGGAGACGUCCUAACGGCUGACCGGGCUUUUCAUUAUUCGAUGACAUUGGAUAUGGACAUUUAUAUUUGAAUAUUACUAGUUGACCACACACACCACCGGAGGAGAUUUGAGGAUGUUGAAACUGUUUCUUUUUUUGUAAGAAAUAUUGAUGGAAGUAAAGUGUUGAGAAGA